AGUGAACGCUGGCGGCAGGCCUAACACAUGCAAGUCGAGCGGCAGCGCGGUGGUAGCAAUACCACUGGCGGCGAGCGGCGGACGGGUGAGGAACACAUCGGAAUCUACCUUUUUGUGGGGGAGUAACGUAGGGAACUUACGCUAAUACCGCAUACGAGCGUGCAUCGACAGAUAUGCGCUGAAAGCGGGGGCCCAGCAAUGGCCUCGCGCGGAUUGANGAGCCGAUGUCCGAUUAGCUAGGUUGGGGG
rnacentral:rRNA from 1 species